GUGCAGGGAACGCGGGCGGCCAGACAACGGGCUGGGCUCCGGGGCCUGCGGCGCGGGCGCUGAGCUGGCAGGGCGGGUCGGGGCGCGGGCUGCAUCCGCAUCUCCUCCAUCGCCUGCAGUAAGGGCGGCCGCGGCGAGCCUUUGAGGGGAACGACUUGUCGGACCCCUAACCAGGGGUAUCUCUGAGCCUGGCGGGAUCCCCGGAGCGUCACAUCACUUUCCGAUCACUUCAAAGUGGUUAAAAACUAAUAUUUAUAUGACAGAAGAAAAAGAUGUCAUUCCGUAAAGUAAACAUCAUCAUCUUGGUCCUCGCUGUUGCUCUCUUCUUACUGGUUUUGCACCAUAACUUCCUCAGCUUGAGCAGUUUGUUAAGGAAUGAGGUUACAGAUUCAGGAAUUGUGGGGCCUCAACCUAUAGACUUUGUCCCAAAUGCUCUCCGACAUGCAGUAGAUGGGAGACAAGAGGAGAUUCCUGUGGUCAUCGCUGCAUCUGAAGACAGGCUUGGGGGGGCCAUUGCAGCUAUAAACAGCAUUCAGCACAACACUCGCUCCAAUGUGAUUUUCUACAUUGUUACUCUCAACAAUACAGCAGACCAUCUCCGGUCCUGGCUCAACAGUGAUUCCCUGAAAAGCAUCAGAUACAAAAUUGUCAAUUUUGACCCUAAACUUUUGGAAGGAAAAGUAAAGGAGGAUCCUGACCAGGGGGAAUCCAUGAAACCUUUAACCUUUGCAAGGUUCUACUUGCCAAUUCUGGUUCCCAGCGCAAAGAAGGCCAUAUACAUGGAUGAUGAUGUAAUUGUGCAAGGUGAUAUUCUUGCCCUUUACAAUACAGCACUGAAGCCAGGACAUGCAGCUGCAUUUUCAGAAGAUUGUGAUUCAGCCUCUACUAAAGUUGUCAUCCGUGGAGCAGGAAACCAGGUAAAUUGCUUACCAAACACCCCUCUUCCUACAAUAUUGUUUAAUGGGAAGAGGUUGCAAAUUCAGGGAACUCUUUUGCUGCAAUUUACACUCCCCAAUAAUUUCAUCCCAAAACUCAAGCCUGCUUUUCUGUAGACUUCUUCAUGGACUUGACAGCCUAAUUGUUCUUGAACAUCUGGUUUAUUAUGUCAACAUCUAGGUUCCUAUUCUAACUUGGAAUUUCAAAUAUCUAUUUUCUAAUCUGAAGAAGUCAUAGUUUAACAGCUCUUCUCUCUACUGGCUAUAAAAUUGUAUCUAUUCUGUUUGAAGCAGUAAGUACAUACAUCCUAUUUGUGUUUUUAGUACAAUUACAUUGGCUAUCUUGACUAUAAAAAGGAAAGAAUUCGUAAGCUUUCCAUGAAAGCCAGCACUUGCUCAUUUAAUCCUGGAGUUUUUGUUGCAAACCUGACGGAAUGGAAACGACAGAAUAUAACUAACCAACUGGAAAAAUGGAUGAAACUCAAUGUAGAGUAAGUAUGUAACUGGCCUAGCUGUGAAAAACUGUUGUAUUUCAAUUCCUAGAGUCUUGACUAACAGGAGUUAGUACUUUUCACUAACAAACAUUUGUUUUCUGUCCCACCAAGAGAGGGACUGUAUAGCAGAACCCUGGCUGGUAGCAUCACAACACCUCCUCUGCUUAUCGUAUUUUAUCAACAGCACUCUACCAUCGAUCCUAUGUGGAAUGUCCGCCACCUUGGUUCCAGUGCUGGAAAACGAUAUUCACCUCAGUUUGUAAAGGCUGCCAAGUUACUCCAUUGGAAUGGACAUUUUAAGCCAUGGGGAAGGACUGCUUCAUAUACUGAUGUUUGGGAAAAAUGGUAUAUUCCAGACCCAACAGGCAAAUUCAACCUAAUCCGAAGAUAUACCGAGAUCUCAAACAUAAAGUGAAACAGAAUUUGAACUGUAAGCAUUUCUCAGGAAGUCCUG
rnacentral:sRNA from 1 species